AACAGGCUGCCCAGGGAGGUUGUGGAGUCUCCUUCUCUGCAGACAUUCCAACCCGCCUGGACAUGUUCCCGUGCAACCUCACCUAGGCGUUCCUGCUCCAGCAGGGGGAUUGGACUGGAUGAUCUUUUGAGGUCCCUUCCAAUCCCAAACAUACUGUGAUACUGUGAUACUGUGUAAUUGAAGAGGGCUGGACACAACAAUUAACCAGAGCUCUAAUACUGGGUUUUCAUACUGGCUGUGAUUCAACAAGCUCAUUCACCCAACACUAAGAUUUUCCUAACAGGUUGCUUGACCUUUUCAUUACUAUUAUUUAUGGGCCAGUAAUGUGCAGCAUCUUUUAGACUCUUAAAUGAGCGCUGCUGGGUGAAAGGUUGGUAUUUUAAGGGAACUUUCUUUUUCCUGAAGUUUAUUAUCGCUGAAUGUAACGCUGUUGACAUCUGACAUUUAUAGAACGUGCUUCACCUCUAGUAAUCCCUGAAUGUUUUGCAAAUGAAUGAGAUGGAUGCUCAGCUGCUACCGAUAUCGCCAGAAACAUCCUAAUUCACACUAAAUAUCUGUAUGUGGCAAAGUGAGGUGAUGUCCUUAAUCACAACAACUGAUUCAUCUGUAGGAAACAAACUUUUGGACACAUCGGUGCUUCUUUAUGACUUUGCAUGAUCUCCAGGAGAGCUGGGGAUCCCCAGACCUUGCCUAUUUCUUCCACCUUUGUCAGUUUGUCCCAUAAAUUUAUCACCAUUCCCUCUCCCUUGAGCUCGUUGACAUCCUUAGACAGCCACAGCAACUCAACAGACUUAAGGUGUAUCUCAGAAGCUUCUGCCUGCAGGUGGAUUAUGCUUUAGGAAUGGAAGUUGCUGUAAAAUCCAAGUGUUCCUUCAUGUUUGGUGACUCGUCCAAACCAAGGAAUAAUUAUUCUCAGACUUCGGGAGUGUUGGAUAUGAAUCUGCAGUGUCAUUUUCUGUCCUGAGACUAUGUAAUCCAUAAAACAGGAGAAUUUUUGAUCAACGUUGAUGUGAAAACAGCUUUAACCCUGUAUUAAUAUAAUAAAGCUUGGGAGAGGACUUGAAUAGUCAGGGCAUCUUCAGCUUUGGGAAGACCAUUGACUGCUUGGGGGUGGGCUCUGCAAUGAUAUUUGCUACCAAGAAAGUAACUCCAGCUCUAUAUCUAGAACAAAAAUCCUGUGUUCUCUGCACCUACCCCAAGCAGCUGUUUUUUUCUGAUUUCACCCUUUGUGAACAAAAGUGAGUAAAUAAUCAAAAAUAAAAUCAGGCAUAGCAGAGGAGUCUCUUACUCUGCCUUACUUCAAAUGUGUGAAGCCAAGAACCAAGCAGGAGAAUAAUUCUGCUGUCGCUACUUUCCAAACUUACAUUAUUGUCAAUAUAGUAAAACAGCAGCAUCUUGGAGAAGCUGUGGGCUUCGCAGAUCAAGCACCACAAGUGUGGCUUUUCAGAGCUGCGCUUCACAAGUAUUUAUUGGGCUCUCCAUUGUGAACUCUUCACUGAGCCACGGAGAUAUACUCCAAAUUUUAAUGUAUCAGGCUCCUAAAAGCAUUUCAAGGCCUGCAACCAAGUUGACGUCAAUAUUCAAAAAGGAGCAUGAAAUGGGAAGGAAGGGGAGAGAGUCUGUGGUGUUCCAAGGACUCAUAUCUUGAAGACAGAACGUAACACAACGUUUACAAAGGGAGUUUGUGCAAGGACACAGUUUGCGGACAUGAAUUCGAAGAUGCUUCUCAAACGUCUCCCUGUAAGGCAAAUUUUUGCAUCGUUCUUGCUCUUUUCUUUACCUUUAUCAUCUUCUAACACCCUUCGCAAAGUGUGGACGUCAGAACCAGGUGCAGAUAUUCAGUAAAGGUCUUUGAAAUGCCCUAUGCAGAGGAACCGCCGCCUUUGUUCCAUUCCUGCUCCCUGCUUGUGUACUCGAGGAUCACGUCUUCUCUUCGAGCUGUGACAUCACACUGUGAGUCUUUGUUGUUGCCAUGUCACAGAUUCUGUCUCCCAGGCCAUCAACGUGUCCGACCUCGUGGUGACACCAUUCAGGCUCAACUCAGCCCAUCUCACCAGCUCACGUCAGCUCAGACAUUAUUGGCAUCUCCAGUUUUGGAGUCACCUGCAAGCGUGAUCAGGAGUUGUUUUGUUUCUUCUACCCAGUUCCUGAUAAAGAGACCAAACAGUGGCAAAUCCAGAAGGUCGUCUCUGAAACUCCACUGGAAACAUCUCACUGGAAUAACCAUUCCUGAGCCUCAGAUUAUGUCGUUGCACGAAGGAGUCGCAGCCACCGGAGCAGAAGAAGGUUGAGAGGUCUGGAAAUCUUCUGACAUAGUGAGGUCAAAUGGCCGGAGGUUUGGGCAAGACAUAUGAAAACAGGACACAAUUUCAGUAGGAAGAACAAACAUCUGUUGGAGGAGGUUCUGAUGGUAAAUUAAAUUUGAGGCCAAAAGGACUGCUCGGCUGCUGAAACUUAUGCCCCGUUUUCUGCAAGGGAAGCCUUGAAAUUGGAUGUCUGAUGUCUCAUUUUGGGAGGAUUGAUACCACUGCUGCUUUUCUUGAAAAUACAAGAGUGCAUUGCUGCUACUGGGAGUUUGACUUACUUCAGUUCAAGUUUCUGUUGUUUCUCUUGCCUGAAGCUUCUAGUUACACAAACCAGAAAAUAUCCAAAGCUGUAUUCAGUAGGAGGAAAUAUUUCUGCGAGCAUUGGAAUUUAUGAAGUCUGUUCUCCGAUGGGUUUGUAUGUCAUGCUUGGCUGUCUCCAGUUUAAUAAGGUGGAGCUCUGAUCUAAGGGUUUUUCCUGGGGUUGAGGCAUUCAUUACCUCUCCCUCCCAUGGGAAUUUGCUGGAAGAAACCAGCUAAGUGGUUUCAGCGCUUCAACGGCAAUCUGGGACUUUCUUUUCUAUCCAGCUACCGCUUUACCCCACACUGUUGGAAUUUACUGGCUCAGAUAUCACCCAAGGCAAGUGUUGAUGCCCAACAAACCCACAAGUCAUGACAUGGAGACCGAUGGUCAGCUUGACACAGAGAACUUAAUGGAGCUGGGUUAAAAUGAAAACCUUGUGGGCAGGACCUAAGAACUCCUUACAAAAGGUCUGAGGGAAAAGAAAAGCAUAAUUAAUCACAGGAGAGUCAGGAUGUGGGCGUUGGGGUUUUUUGUCUGUUACACCCCUCAGGUUUUCCAUGGUUCCAAAUGAAGAUCAGGCGUAAAGAUUUUCAUUUCAACGUGCAGCCUGCAGCCGUUCACCUGAACAAGAUGAGGAGCGACAGGCUGAGGAUUUGGAAGGUACCUGAGGACAACUGGAUACUGGACAUCAAAUGGGAGGCUUGUCUUAGCCAGAAGAUGGAACACACCACUUGUAAGUCACAUUUAGGCUUCCUAAGCCCAAGGUUUGAUGCAUCCACAAUACCCAAUAAUGAUGAAAAAUGUAAUAUUCCUCCUAUAGUUAUUAUUACUACCGGAAAGCUCUUAAUCUGAACAAAGCCCUCAUGCAAAAAUAUAGACAUGUGUUCCUGAGGGUGUGUUGAAGCUCCUGGAAGGUGAAUGAAGAUGCACGCGACUCCGUAACAGCAUUAAGGUUAACGGCAUUAGAAAGCUGCUCUACCACCUGGCAAUUCACUCUUUCCCAGGCCAUGAGAUCAAUUAACAAAACAAGUCAUGAUAAAAGAUUAUUCCAUGGGAUAAAUUAUUGGGUUUCUCUCUCUUUUUUUCUGACGUGUCUUUCUGGCCAGGUCACCAAUUGCACGAACAAACUGGUUCAUUCUCACCUCUCCGUAGCGUUAGGGAUUGCGCAAUUGUAAAACCAGCAUUCCCUUAGUGAAGUUAAGUAAAAUAAAGGGGGAAAAUAAACCACAGUAAAGUUUUGGGGUUUUUUUUUUAAUGAUUUGCAGAAGGAGAACAGCUCAUCUUCUUUCACUGUGUUUUACCUGCUCGUAAAGACAAACCCCUCACACUUGGGCUCUGAUUUCCUUCAGGGAUUGCGUUACCACAGGCUCUGUGGCUUUGACAUUGGAAAUGCCGCAGUACUUUUCCGCUUAGCUUCAUCUCAGUUACUAUUUUUUCCUGCAGCAGUUAUACACGGUGCAACCUGGGAAAUGUCAGGAGGCAAAAAAACACAAUAAGAAGGCAUUUGAAUCAUAUCUCUGCCUUGAUUCCCAGCAUUAAGCCAGACAACGUCUUCUCCUGCCCCGUGAGCUGCUUCCUUCUUAUUUACAAGCUCAGACAGAAAGAACUGAUGGCAGCUACGUGCUUGGAAGAGACACCCAUUGUUAUUGUGUAGAAAAUCCAAAAAAACAACCUAAGACACCUUUAGCUCAGACCUCUAUGAUGGUUAAUAGGAAUAAUGAGGUUAUCCAGACGAGUGACCCACCAUAGGGCCAAACCCUGAUGUUUCAGCGCCCUUUUAUUCUGUUCUUAUUCAGGCAGAUUGGUAAAGCCUGAUAAAUCUUCAUAAGAAAAUCAGAAUUAAGUCUCUUACAAGAUAUGGUGUCCUGGGACCUGAUUCUUUGACCAUGGACCAAUUUCAGUGUAAUGCAGCCGAUGUCAGGGUGCCAAGCUCUGCAAGAAGAGGUGAUAUAUUAUAUUAAACGGACUGAUAGAUGCCAACUGAAUUAUGCUCGCUUUAUACAAGCAAAAUUGCUCCUACAAUCGUAGAUGGAAACUCUGGCCUUCACUCUGCUCCCAUUUACACUGACGCAAGUCAAAGGUAAUUUCAUUAUAACUAAUAUAAACGCAUCACAGACAAGGCAAUUACACCUGUAAGAUACCGGUGUGAGCCGAACCCUUUCCUCUGACAUUUCCACUAAUGUUUGAAAUGAAAUAACGAAGGAAAGCGUGGUAUUUUUUCAAAUGUUAAACCCGGGGACAAGAGACUGGUGUGUACGACGGCAGCAAGCAUUAGUAACUCUGUUAGAUUUAGGAAUUCCCAAGUAACACUUAUAAAAGAACUGCUUUGCCUGUGCCUAUUUAGGGUGGUUUUUUGGCGCAGUGGACAAGAAGUGGCCUCGCAUUGAGCUCUUUCCUUUUCUUUCUGUUUGAAGGGAAGAUGGGGAGGUCCCUUCUGGUUUGGGGAAAUCCUUUACUGAGCCCCUCUGAGAUUUACAGACACAUUGUGAUGGUGGUUUAUUCAUCACGGAUAACAUUUUUGGGUCAGUUUGAGCUUUAUUUGGUUUCAAUACUCAUGGGUCCACUCAUUCUACUGGAUAUAUCUCAUAGUACUAAAAUGCUGUUGUGAAAGAAAUAUGAAAAGUAUGUUUCUGCCCCCUGGUUUCCAAUCCAUCAGUUUGCAGAUCAAGAUCCAUUCAUGCAAGGCGUGUAAGGAGAAAAUGCCGUUUUCCUAACCGUUCAUCCUCAUUGUAUCAUAUAUUAUUAAUGAAGAAAGACCUCAGAGUUCAUGUGCUGCAUCAGCCAGAAAUAUGUUGAUUUUUUUUCUCUUUUGUUUAAAAAAUAAGAGACAUUCACAACCUGUA